GACGAACCGUGCGAACGUUGUUCGGAUUCACUGGGCUUAAAGGGCGCGUAGGCGGGCAUCCAAGUCAGGGGUGAAAUCUUUCGGCCCAACCGGAAAAGUGCCUUUGAUACUGGAUGUCUCGAGGGAGGUAGGGGCAUGUGGAACAAAUGGUGGAGCGGUGAAAUGCGUAGAUAUCAUUUGGAACGCCAAUGGUGAAAACAACUCGCUGGGGAAGUGCUGACGCUGAGACACGAAAGCCAGGGGAGCGAACGGG
rnacentral:rRNA from 1 species